UUGGCGGUACGCAGGCCUCUCACCGCUGCGGCCUCUCCCGCUGCGGAGCACAGGCUCCGGACGCGCAGCCUCAGCGGCCAUGGCUCACGGGCCCAGCUGCUCCGCGGCAUGUGGGAUCUUCCCGGACCGGGGCACGAACACGUGUCCCCUGGAUCGGCAGGCGGACUCCCAACCACUGCGCCACCAAGGAAGCCCCUAAUAUUUUUCUUCUGGCUUGAUUGGCUAGCUAAUAUAUAGUUUUUACUAACGUACUCCACUCUACUCUUUAGGGACCUGAUAUAAUUUUGAGCUUCUUCUUCCUGUGACUAGAAGCAGGCAAAAGCACUCCCCUGACCUCAGACAGCAGUCCUAGUUUUCAGCAGAGAAUCUCUAUCUAGCAUCUUCUCCCACACAGUGUUGUCAGAAACCAAUUAUUCUGUUUCACACAUGUGUUUCUUUGAUCUGGGAUCUGUUGUCAGUUACAGUCCUGUUACUCACCCAGAGAUUGCUCCUCAUGUUCCUGCCUGGGUGACACCUACGAUAGAAGAUCGUGUCCCACAGAUCCUCCCGGGACUGGCAGAUACAGGAGUGGCGGAAGUGCAGGAGUGACAGGAGUGCCCGCUGUGGAAGGUCACUGGUCUCUCAGGUAAUCCACACUGACACUGCAGCUCAACCCCACUUGGAGGUCUGUCACGGCUGCUGCAAUCACUACUAUGUAAUGCAUGCCAGUGCUGGCCAAGGUGCAAACCUGGCUCUGCAGGAACAGGGACCAAGUGAGAGAUAGGGAGUCCCCUCUGUCCUCACUGCCCUUCUUGAAAACUAGCGGGCUGUCCAAUUGCACAAAUCCACACUGGCAGCAGUUCUACCUCCAGCCCCUCAGCUUCAACCCAGUGAUUCUAUAUUUCAUGUUAAAUUGCCUUAAUAAUUAUAAGACCUUAAAUUUUUCUUUCUUUUCUUAAUCAGUUGUGUUUUCAAAACUAAUUGUGAGGUAGUUUAAAGGAAUUUUUCAAUCUAACUUAAAUUUUAAAAUGUACUGGCAUAGAAGUGUUUAUAAUAUUAUUUUUUUAAAUGUCUGUAGGAUCUGUAGUAAUGUUCCUUUUAAAUUCUUGUUAUAGGUACUUUGUGUUUUCUCUUUUUGUCCCCUUAAUCAGUCUUGUUAGGGGUUUAUUGAUUUUAUUAAUCUUUUCUAAUAACCAACUUUUGGCUUCAAUUAAUUUCUUUAUUUUAUGUCUGCUUCUUAUUUCAAUGAUUCUGCUUCUUUCUUAAUUAUUUCUGUUCUACUUUCUCUGCAUUUACUUUGCUUGUAUUUUUUUCUUUUAGCUAGCUUCUUAAGAUAUAAAUUAAGAUAAUAAUUUCAACCUGUUUUCUCUUAUAGUAUGUGCAUUUAGAGCUAUAGAUUUCCCUCUAAGCACUGCUACAACUGCAUCCUACAAGUUUUUAAAAUAACAAAUUGCUAACAUUUAUUCAGGUCACACUGUGUGCAAAGCACUGUAUUGAAACCUUUACAAACAUUCUCUUUAAAUUUUAUAUAUUUUUAUUGAACAUAAUUUACAUAUAGUAAAAUUCACAGAUCUUAAAGGUAUAGUUUAACAAAUCUUUACCAAUUAUACAUCAGUAUUAUUACCAGAUCCAGAUACGGAUCAUCUUUAUCACUUCAGAAAUUUUCCUCUUGCUUCUUCCCAGUUAUUACCCAUGUCCAAAGGUAAACACUCUUUUGAUUUCUAUUACCAUUGAUUAGAUGUGCCUGUUCUUGACCUUAAUAUAAAUCAAAUCCAACAGUAGCCCAAGAGUAUGUAUACCUUUGUGUCUGGCUUUUUUGCUCAACUCAAUGUUUUAGACAUUAAUGUGUGUUGUUGUAUGCAUGAUUUUUUUGGAAAAUGCCGUGUAAUAUUCCAUUGUAUGGAUAUACUCCAAUUUAUUGAUUCAUCUUCCUGAAGACAGAAAUUUAGCAGGUUCUAAAAAAGUUAUUGGCUAUAAUAAAUAAAACUGCUAUGAAAAUUCUUACACAUAUUUUUAGGUGGACGUAUACUCUCUUGGGCUUGUGUAGAAUUGCUUGGUAAUAGGAUAUGUGAAUUUUUAGUCUUAAUAGUUACUGCCAAUGUUUCCAAUAUUUUAAAUUACAGUGUCCUAAAUAAAUAUUAGCUUUAUUAUUUUUCUCAUUUCCCGACAUAUUUAUAAUUAACAGUAUGGGAGAUUUUAAUCCCUUGUCAAGCAUUUUUAAAGGUCAGGAACUAAUCAGAAUUUUUCCCAUUAAGUUUUCUCUUAAACUAAUCAGUUUAUUAAGCUCACUUUGAACGGUUUCAGCUUGUCCUACACUACGGUGCAAAGUGAAGACUGCCUGUAUUUAUCAUAACGUAAUCACAAGAGUGAUAGCCUGUUACCUUUGCCAUGUUCUGUUGGCUAGAAGCAAGCCACUGGUCUUGCUCUCACUCAAGGGGGACAGAUCAGAUUACACAAGACUUAAUACCAGAGGACAGCGAUCAUGGGCCCAUUUUAGAAUCUUGCCUAUAACAUCUUAACAAUAUUGGGUUUUUCAACCGUGAACAUAUGAACAUAUUAUAUACAUUCAUUUAGUAAGGACUUCUGUAGUUUGAGGCUUGGUUUUAUUUGUUCAUUCAUUUAGGACAAUGUUUGUAGCUUUCAGAAUAGAAGACUUGCACAAUUUCUGUAAGAGUUACUCCUAGGUUUUAAACAUUUUUGAUGCUAUGGUAAGUGGUGUUGAUUUUUAAAUUUUAUUUUCUAGUUCUAGUGGCUAGCAUAUAGAAAUACAGUUGAUUUUUGUAUAUUGACUCUGUGUUCACUAACUUAACCUACUAGUUUGCUUGUAGAUUCUUUUAGAUAUUCUAAAAAUACAAUCAAAAAUACAAUCAUGUUAUCUGCCAAUUAGCACAUUUUUACUUCUUCCUUUUCAAUCUUUAUAUCUUUAAUUUCUUUCCAUUGCCUUUUUGGAACAGCUAGGACGUCCAGUACAAUGCUGAAUAGAAUGAGAGAAAAAUCCUUGUUUUGUUCCUGUUGUUAGAGGGAAAGCAUUCAAUAUUUUAUCGUUAUGCAUGAUUCAACUGUAAUUCUUUAAGGAUGCCCUUCAUCAGAUUAAGAAACUUCCCCUUUUAUAUUAGUUUGCUGAAUUUGAUGUUGAAUUUGAUUAAAUGCUUCUUCUGAACCGUGGAGAUGAUCAUACAGUUUUCCCCCCUUAUUCUGUUAACACAGCAAAUUAUGGUGAUUGAUUUAUGGGUAUUAAAUUAAAUGGUUGUAUACAUUUGACCCUGCAUGCCUAGAAAAAAACCCAUAAAAGGUAUUAUCUUUUUAAUUUAUUAGUGUAUUUGCUUUGCAAAUAUUUUGCUAAUAGAACGUUGGCAUCUGUAUUCAUGAAGGAUAUAGGUCUGAAAUGUUCCAUUCUUAUAAUUUUCUUUCCUUGUCAGUUAUUGAUAUCAGGAUUAUGCUGGCCUCUUCAAUGAGUGUGUCUCUUGGGCUUCCCUCGUGGCGCAAUGUUUAAGAAUCUGCCUGCCAAUGCAGGGGACACGGGUUCGAGUCCUGGUCCGGGAAGAGCCCACAUGCCACGGAGCAACUAAGCCCGUGUGCCACAACUACUGAGCCUGUGCUCUAGAGCCUGCAAACCACAAGUACUGAGCCCACGUGCCACAACUACUGAAGCCCACAUGCCUAGAGCCUGUGCUCCGCAACAAGAGAAGCCACCGCAAUGAGAAGCCCGUGCACCGCAACGGAGUAGCCCCCGAUCGCCGCAACUAGAGAAAGCCCGCAUGCAGCAACGAAGACCCAACACAGCCAAUAAAUAGAUAGAUAGAUAAAUAAAUAAAUAAAUAAAGUGUGUCUCUUAUAUACAUAAAGUUAGGUCAUUUAAACAAACUAAUCAGAAAUCUCUGUUUUUACUGUAGUGUUCGGUCCUUUUGUAUUUAGGUGAUAACUGACAAGUUCGGGUUUAAGUCUGUUGAAUUGCCUUUUGCUUUCAAUUUUUUCCAUCUGGUGUUUAUUCCCUUUUCCUCCUUUUCCACCAUUAAAAAAAUUAAGCAAAGAGAGAACUGACAAUGCUUCAAUCAUAAUUGGAGGUUUUAACAUUCCUCCCUCACCAAUUGAUAGAACUAGACAUAAAAUCAACAAAGAUACAGAAAAUCUGAACAACACUAUUACACUCUGACUUAACUGAUAUUUGCAAGACGCUGCACCACAAAAUAGCUGACUAGUUUCAAGUGUAUGUGGUACACCAGAUGCUAAGCAAUAAAAUUAAAAGGAUUGAAAUUAUACAGAGUAUAUUCUCUGGCCACAGUGGAAUUAAAUCAGAGCUAAAUAACAAUAACUAGAAAAACCUGUAAUAUUUGGAAAUUCAAAAACACUUCUAUAUAAUCCAUGAGUCAAAGAAAAAAAAUCACAAAGGAAACUGGAAAAUAUUGUAAUCUAAUGAUAAAGAAAAUAAAACACAUAAAAUUUUGUGAGGUGCAGCUAAAUAAGAGAAAAAUUCAUAGCUUUAAGUGCUUAUAUUAGAAAGAAGAAAAAUCUAAAGCCAAUGAUCUGUGUCCCUACCUCAAGAAAUUGUAUAGUGAAGUACAAGGUGGAACAUAAAGUAAGUAGAAGGAAGGAAAUCAUACAGACAAGUGUAGUAAUUAAUGAAAUAGAACAUAGACCAACAAUAGUGAAAAAUCAGUGAAACCAAAAACUGGUUCUUUUAAAAUGUCAGUAAAAUCGACAAGCUUUUAGCUAAACUGACAAAGGUAAAAAAAAAGAAAGAAGACCUAAAAUAUUAAUAUUAGGAAUGAAAAAGGGGACAUCACAAUAGUCUGUACAGAAAUUAAAAGAAUAGUAAGGGAAUAGAAUAUUAUGAACAACCUUAUGCCCAAAAAUUGGACAAUCUAGAUGAAAUGGACCAGUUCUCUCAAAGACAAAAACUACCUAAAUGGGUACAAAAAUAAACAGGAAGUUUGGAUAGCCCCAUAUUAAUUUCAAAAGUUGAAUUUGUAAUUUAAAAUUUGCCACAAAGGAAACUCCAGGCCUAGAAGGCUUCACUUAUGGAUUCUAUGAAACAUUUUACAAAUAAAAACCAAUCCUAUACAAACUCCUUUAAAAAAAUAGGGAAGUACGGGGCUUCCCUGGUGGUGCAAGUGGUUGAGAGUCCGCCUGCCGAUGCAGGGGACACGGGUUCGUGCCCUGGUCCGGGAAGAUCCCACAUGCCGCGGAGCGGCUGGGCCCGUGAGCCAUGGCCGCUGAGCCUGCGCGUCCGGAGCCUGUGCUCCCCAACAGGAGAGGCCACAGCAGUGAGAGGCCCGCGUACCACGAAAAAAAAAAAAAAAAUAGGGAAGUAUGGAAUACUUCCCAAUUCAUUUUACAAAGCCAGUAUUACCUUAAUUCCAAAACCAGAUGAAGAUAUUAUUAAAAAAAAGGCCAUUAUUCUUCAUGAAUAUAGAUACAAAUUUAAGUAAAAUUAAAUUUAAUACUCAUGUAUGUAUCUCUAACCUUCUAACUGUAAAUAUGUAUUGAAAGAUACUUGGGAUGAUGUUUACCUAAUAUUAAUGAUGAUUGUUUCUGGUUGGUGGUUAAAGAAAAAUUGUGUGGUUGUGCUUUUCUGCAUUGUUUGAAUUUGUUUUAACAAACAUGAUUAUGCAGUGAAAUAAUUAUUCUUUUUAAAAAACAAUAAGCAAAUAUGUUCUAUUAUUCGUUCAGGUUAUGGGAAUAUGAAUGAUUUGUGAUUUUCUUUGUACUUUUCUGAAUUUUUAAAAUAAAAAUAGAUACUAGUG